UAGGGAAUCUUCGGCAAUGGACGGAAGUCUGACCGAGCAACGCCGCGUGAGUGAAGAAGGUUUUCGGAUCGUAAAGCUCGGUUGUUAGAGAAGAACGUUGGUAGGAGUGGAAAAUCUACCAAGUGACGGUAACUAACCAGAAAGGGACGGCUAACCACGUGCCAGCAGCCGCGGUAAUACGUAGGUCCCGAGCGUUGUCCGGAUUUAUUGGGCGUAAAGCGAGCGCAGGCGGUUCUUUAAGUCUGAAGUUAAAGGCAGUGGCUUAACCAUUGUACGCUUUGGAAACUGGAGGACUUGAGUGCAGAAGGGGGGAGUGGAAUUCCCUGUGUAGCGGUGAAAUGCGUAGAUAUAUGGAGGAACACCGGUGGCGAAAGCGACUCUCUGGUCUGUAACUGACGCUGAGGCUCGAAAGCGUGGGGAGCAAACAGG
rnacentral:rRNA from 1 species